rnacentral:lncRNA from 1 species
AGCAACCCCUGCUAAACCUCCUGCUAUUAGCAUUGUUCUGAGGGUUUCUUGGCCACUCUUUCUGCACCCCGGAUGAAGCUGUUCUCGCAUGUACUCGUAUGUCCAAAAGUAGAAGCCGUGAGAAGGCGCAUCUCGAAGGGCGGUGAUGGUAAAACCCCUGUAUAUCCCCCUUAAGCCUUCUGUUUUCAGUAUGCUUUUAGCUACACUAAUUGGUCCUGUAUGAGCACCGACUGAUUGAGAACCUGGGAAACUUGUGUUCUGCAAUUGCAGGCGGAUUUUUAUUAGUUCUACCGGAGUGAGCAUGACGCUCUGUAAGGCACCAGUUCCAACUCCUCCUAGAGCAACACCUUUGUAGGAUGGUGGAUCGGUGGCAGAUACAGACGAGUCAAAUGCUCGUGAAAGAAUGGCGUAUAUCUGG